rnacentral:tRNA from 1 species
UUUUAACUGAAACCAAAAAGAGGUGUACUACUGUUAAUGGUAACAAUGAAUCACAUUCCAGUUAAA